rnacentral:rRNA from 1 species
UUGAACGCUGGCGGCAUGCCUUACACAUGCAAGUCGCACGGCAGCGCGGACUUCGGUCUGGCGGCGAGUGGCGAACGGGUGAGUAAUACAUCGGAACGUACCCUGUUGUGGGGGAUAACUAGUCGAAAGAUUAGCUAAUACCGCAUACGACCUGAGGGUGAAAGUGGGGGACCGCAAGGCCUCACGCAGCAGGAGCGGCCGAUGUCUGAUUAGCUAGUUGGUGGGGUAAAGGCCCACCAAGGCGACGAUCAGUAGCUGGUCUGAGAGGACGAUCAGCCACACUGGGACUGAGACACGGCCCAGACUCCUACGGGAGGCAGCAGUGGGGAAUUUUGGACAAUGGGGGCAACCCUGAUCCAGCAAUGCCGCGUGUGUGAAGAAGGCCUUCGGGUUGUAAAGCACUUUUGUCCGGAAAGAAAUCGCGCUGGUUAAUACCUGGCGUGGAUGACGGUACCGGAAGAAUAAGCACCGGCUAACUACGUG